AUGGCAUCAGAAAGUGAGGCUCUCUUCUUUACUUCAAAAAUCGUGGAAGCACAAUCGCACAUUGGUAUUUCUUCUUCUUUUCAUCUUUCUCUCCGCAAAUCCUCAACACCAAGCUUCACUAAAUCGUACACACGCAACCGUUCGGAGACAACAUCAUCCAAAGGUUUUAAGAUAACGAGGAUCAGUAGUGAUGAUGAAGAAAGAUGA